AUACGGAGGAUCCGAGCGUUAUCCGGAUUUAUUGGGUUUAAAGGGAGCGUAGGCGGACUAUUAAGUCAGCUGUGAAAGUUUGCGGCUCAACCGUAAAAUUGCAGUUGAUACUGGUCGUCUUGAGUGCAGUAGAGGUAGGCGGAAUUCGUGGUGUAGCGGUGAAAUGCUUAGAUAUCACGAAGAACUCCGAUUGCGAAGGCAGCCUGCUGGACUGUAACUGACGCUGAUGCUCGAAAGUGUGGGUAUCAAACAGGAUUAGAUACCCUGGUAGUCCACACAGUAAACGAUGAAUACUCGCUGUUUGCGAUAUACAGUAAGCGGCCAAGCGAAAGCGUUAAGUAUUCCACCUGGGGAGUACGCCGGCAACGGUGAAACUUAAAGGAAUUGACGGGG
rnacentral:rRNA from 1 species